rnacentral:lncRNA from 1 species
GUUAGAUUUAAAUGUGUUUCGUGAAUUUAUUUCACUUUAUCAUCACUUUCUUCGUCUGUUGAAACCUUUAAGAUAUUUUCUCAGUACUGUUUUGUUUUUCUAAAGGGACGUAACACCACUACUAACCGUGUAUGAAAUAAGCCCCGCCUCCUUAUUACCUUAUUUGGAAUAUAAAGAGACGUAACUCCACUACUAACCGUGUAUGAAAUAAGCCCGCCUCCCAACUAACCUAAUAUUAAAUAUACACGGUUUCCACGAGGACGCUUUUAACCUAUCAUAUUCCUAGAAAUGUAUAGGAGGUAAGAUAAU